ensembl:lncRNA
CACAAAUCCACCUCCUACUCCAACAGGGCUUCCACUGUUGAGGUCUAAAAAGCUGGAUUUGUAUGUCAUCCUGCUGUGUGUGUGAGUGAGCGCAGGGAGGGGAGCUGCCUCCCUGUUUCUAUAGAAACCAGUAUUGUGUGAUGGAACGCAGCGUUUGUGAUGCGUAACCAUGUGUGUGCUGUUCCAUGUUGAAGUCCGGUCCUUCCUGGUCGUUUCAGGGCUGCAGAAGGUUCACUUGAAGGCCUUGGACGGGCAGCGGUACUCCACCCUGGAGAGGCAGUGCUUGCAGAGUGGCCUGCUCUUUGAGACCCCCGCUUCCCCGCCAUCGACCACUCGCCGUUCCACCACGCCAACAGGAUGGGACGCGUGGUGUGGAAGAGGCCUCGGAGCACCGUGUCUGUCUUGCCCGUUAGAGCGUCCCCCCCCGAUGAGUUCUUCACGCCUGGUCAGCGGCCAUCAAGCGCUUCUCCUCUCCCUUCUGUGGUCCUCUGGUGCAGGCCGGGCGACCGGACGUAUGUUUCAGUGGCAGAUGAUACCGGAUGCAGGGCCUCAGGACUCAGUGAGCCGACCCCCCCCUGACAUGAUGCUCAUGGACUACAAAGUGUACAGCUUCUCCCGGAGUGGCCUGAUGAGCUGGUCUCACACUUCCAAUGCUGCUGCAGGUGCCGGCUUUGUUAUUUCUGAAGGGUGUGCUCCAGCAUCUUCACGGGGGGGACGACUUUGGAG